rnacentral:misc_RNA from 1 species
UCUCCGUUGGUGAACCAGCGGAGGGAUCAUUACAGGACUCGCAAGACUCCUACAACCCUGUGAACUUAACUAUAAGCACGUUGCUUCGGCGGGUGUCUCGGAGGGGGUUCUCCCUCCCUGAGACGCUAAACCCGCCGGCAGCCUACUAUACUCUGUCUCUUUGCGUUGGCAUCUCGAGCACAAUCAAACAAGUUAAAACUUUCAACAACGGAUCUCUUGGUUCUG